rnacentral:tRNA from 1 species
GAGGGUAUAGCUCAAUACUAAAGUGCAUGCUUAGCAUGCACGAAGUCCUGGGUUCAAACUCCAGUAACUCCA